AACGCACAUUGCGCCCCCUGGCAUUCCGGGGGGCACACCUGUCCGAGCGCCGUCGCAACACUGAGGCUCAGCCUUGCGCUGGCGGACCAGUCUGACGCAAAAGACUGGCCGCCGAAACCCCGACGGCGCCGCCCUCCCCGGCCGACAGCUCCUGCGCAAACAGCAGAACCGAGCGCCCGGCGGGACGGAGGGACGGCCGCCUGUGAAUCGACAAGCUUGGCCUCGGAUCAGGUGGGGAUACCCGCUGAACUUAA
rnacentral:misc_RNA from 1 species